GACGUAGGGUCCGAGCGUUGUCCGGAAUUACUGGGCGUAAAGCGCGCGCAGGCGGUCCAUUCAGUCGCUGGUGAAAGCCCCACGCUCAACGUGGGAAGGUCCGGCGAGACGGGUGGACUGGAGGCAGGGAGAGGUCGGUGGAAUUCCGGGUGGUAGUGGUGGAAAUGACGUAGAGAUCCGGAGGAACACCAGAGGCGAAGGCGGCCGACUGGACCUGACCUGACGCUGAGGCGCGAAGGCGUGGGGAGCGAACGGGG
rnacentral:rRNA from 1 species